UACGUAGGGUGCAAGCGUUAAUCGGAAUUACUGGGCGUAAAGCGUACGCAGGCGGCUUUGCAAGUCAGGUGUGAAAUCCCCGGGCCUAACCUGGGAACUGCAUUUGUGACUGCAUAGCUAGAGUUUGUCAGAGGGGGGUGGAAUUCCACGUGUAGCAGUGAAAUGCGUAGAUAUGUGGAGGAACACCGAUGGCGAAGGCAGCCCCCUGGGAUGUGACUGACGCUCAUGUACGAAAGCGUGGGGAGCAAACAGG
rnacentral:rRNA from 1 species